rnacentral:sRNA from 12 species
GGACCACUCCUUCCGGAGUCGAGGCCAUACGGACAGCCGGGUCCACUGCCGA